GACGAACGCUGGCGGCGUGCUUAACACAUGCAAGUCGAACGGAAAGGCCCUGCUUUUGUGGGGUGCUCGAGUGGCGAACGGGUGAGUAACACGUGAGUAACCUGCCCUUGACUUUGGGAUAACUUCAGGAAACUGGGGCUAAUACCGGAUAGGAGCUCCUGCUGCAUGGUGGGGGUUGGAAAGUUUCGGCGGUUGGGGAUGGACUCGCGGCUUAUCAGCUUGUUGGUGGGGUAGUGGCUUACCAAGGCUUUGACGGGUAGCCGGCCUGAGAGGGUGUACGGCGACAUUGGGACUGAGAUACGGCCCAGACUCCUACGGGAGGCAGCAGUGGGGAAUAUUGCACAAUGGGCGGAAGUCUGAUGCAGCAACGCCGCGUGCGGGAUGACGGCCUUCGGGUUGUAAACCGCUUUCGCCUGUGACGAAGCGUGAGUGACGGUAAUGGGUAAAGAAGCACCGGCUAACUACGUG
rnacentral:rRNA from 1 species